ACAGUUUCUUGAAAACUACAAUGGUACUUUGAGAGCUGAGUGGGUAUCUCUGGAAGGGCCUAUGAGAGAAACAAUUAGAAAGUCUUCUAAGUGACUUGUCUGGGGAUCAGCAGAGGGACCUGCUUGGGGACUAGAAAGUGGACUUCCUAUGGGAAACAUAGGGGUCCAUGCUGUGAGUCCUGCAAGAGGGCAUGCUGAGAGACAUGCUAGGGAAUACAUGUGAAGUCAUACAAGGAGACUUAUUGUGAGGCCUGGAGGGAGACAUGCUCUGAGUCCUAUAAAGAGGGCAUGCUGAGAGACAUGCAAGAGGAUAUGCCAUGAGUCCUACAAGAGGACUUGCUGUGAGUCCUGAAAAAGGCCAUUCUGUGAGUCGUUCAAAGAAACCUGUGGUAAAUCCUGCAAGAUGACAUGCUAAGAGACUUGUUAUGGUGUUUGCUGUGAGUCCUACAAAGAAAUGUGCUGAGCGUCCUACCAGAGAAUAUGCUGAGACAAGCAAAGCAAUGAAUUGUGAGAUCUUCAAAGAGACGUCCUGUGAGUUCUGCACAGAUAUUUGUUCUGGGAUGGGCAAGAACUACUGUGAGUCCCACAAGGAGACCUCUUAUGAUGCCUGAAAGGGAACUUGUUCUGGGAGUUGCAAUGGGACUUACCAUAAAACCAACAGAAGCAUAUGCUGGGGAAACUUCAAGAUCUGCAAAACAGUUAACUCAGUAAGUUUUGUACAUUUGCCUUUUCAUAUAACAGGUCUAAUGUGUAUUAUAAUUUUAAAAUAAGAUUGCAAUUUUCACAUGCCCACACUUGUCACCAAGUGUGAAUCUAAAGACCUUAUGUAGGCAUUGUGUUAAAGAAUUUUAGAGAAAGGAUCUUAUAUCUUGUGAUUUUAGAAAAACCCCUCUUAUUAAAAAGGAA
rnacentral:lncRNA from 1 species